rnacentral:rRNA from 1 species
GAUGAACGCUGGCGGCGUGCCUAAUACAUGCAAGUCGAGCGAACGGACGAGAAGCUUGCUUCUCUGAUGUUAGCGGCGGACGGGUGAGUAACACGUGGAUAACCUACCUAUAAGACUGGGAUAACUUCGGGAAACCGGAGCUAAUACCGGAUAAUAUUUUGAACCGCAUGGUUCAAAAGUGAAAGACGGUCUUGCUGUCACUUAUAGAUGGAUCCGCGCUGCAUUAGCUAGUUGGUAAGGUAACGGCUUACCAAGGCAACGAUGCAUAGCCGACCUGAGAGGGUGAUCGGCCACACUGGAACUGAGACACGGUCCAGACUCCUACGGGAGGCAGCAGUAGGGAAUCUUCCGCAAUGGGCGAAAGCCUAACGGAGCAACGCCGCGUGAGUGAUGAAGGUCUUCGGAUCGUAAAACUCUGUUAUUAGGGAAGAACAUAUGUGUAAGUAACUGUGCACAUCUUGACGGUACCUGAUCAGAAAGCCACGGCUAACUACGUG